GAUGAAGAACGUAGCGAAAUGCGAUAAGUAAUGUGAAUUGCAGAAUUCAGUGAAUCAUCGAAUCUUUGAACGCACAUUGCGCCCGCCAGUAUUCUGGCGGGCAUGCCUGUUCGAGCGUCAUUACAACCCUCAGGCCCCCGGGCCUGGCGUUGGGGAUCGGCGGAGCCCCCCGUGGGCACACGCCGUCCCCCAAAUGCAGUGGCGGUCCCGCCGCAGCUUACAUCGCGUAGUAGCUAACACCUCGCGACUGGAGAGCGGCGCGGCCACGCCGUAAAACACCCAACUCUUCUGAAGUUGACCUCGAAUCAGGUAGGAAUACCCGCUGAACUUAAGCAUAUCAAUAAGCGGAGGA
rnacentral:misc_RNA from 1 species